UNGGAAUUACUGGGCGUAAAGCGGGCGCAGACGGUUACUUAAGCAGGAUGUGAANUCCCCGGGCUCAACCUGGGAACUGCGUUNUGAACUGGGUGACUAGAGUGUGUCAGAGGGAGGUAGAAUUNCACGUGUAGCAGUGAAAUGCGUAGAGAUGUGGAGGAAUACCGAUGGCGAAGGCAGUCUCCUGGGAUAACACUGACGUUCAUGCCCGAAAGCGUGGGUAGCAAACAGGAUUAGAUACCCUGGUAGUCCACGCCCUAAACGAUGUCGAUUAGCUGUUGGGCAGCAUGACUGCUUAGUAGCGAAGCUAACGCGUGAAAUCGACCGCCUGGGGAGUACGGUCGCAAGAUUAAAACUCAAAGGAAUUGACGGGGACCCGCACAAGCGGUGGAUGAUGUGGAUUAAUUCGAUGCAACGCGAAGAACCUUACCUGGUCUUGACAUGUACGGAACCCUCCAGAGACGGAGGGGUGCCUUCGGGAGCCGUAACACAGGUGCUGCAUGGCUGUCGUCAGCUCGUGUCGUGAGAUGUUGGGUUAAGUCCCGCAACGAGCGCAACCCUUGUCAUUAGUUGCCAUCAUUAAGUUGGGCACUCUAAUGAGACUGCCGGUGACAAGCCGGAGGAAGGUGGGGAUGACGUCAAGUCUUCAUGGCCCUUAUGACCAGGGCUUCACACGUCAUACAAUGGUCGGUACAGAGGGUAGCCAAGCCGCGAGGUGGAGCCAAUCUCACAAAACCGAUCGUAGUCCGGAUUGCACUCUGCAACUCGAGUGCAUGAAGUCGGAAUCGCUAGUAAUCGCAGGUCAGCAUACUGCGGUGAAUACGUUCCCGGGUCUUGUACACACCGCCCGUCACACCAUGGGAGUGGGGGAUACCAGAAGUAGGUAGGGUAACCGCAAGGAGCCCGCUU
rnacentral:rRNA from 1 species